AUUGAACGCUGGCGGCAUGCCUUACACAUGCAAGUCGAACGGCAGCACGGGAGCAAUCCUGGUGGCGAGUGGCGAACGGGUGAGUAAUAUAUCGGAACGUGCCCAGUGAUGGGGGAUAGCCCGGCGAAAGCCGGAUUAAUACCGCAUACGACCUACGGGUGAAAGCAGGGGGUCGCAAGACCUUGCGUCAUUGGAGCGGCCGAUAUCAGAUUAGCUUGNGGUGGGGUAAAGCCUACCAAGGCGACGAUCUGUAGCUGGUCUGAGAGGACGACCAGCCACACUGGGACUGAGACACGGCCCAGACUCCUACGGGAGGCAGCAGUGGGGAAUUUUGGACAAUGGGCGCAAGCCUGAUCCAGCCAUGCCGCGUGCGGGAAGAAGGCCUCGG
rnacentral:rRNA from 1 species